GUGAACUGUGAAGAUCAACGUAUCUACUGGUGAAGACAUCAGCAGACAUGGAGAGUAAGCUGAUGUUUUUAGUGGUUUGCGUGAUGGGCUGUGCAGUGUCUUUUAUUAAGGCUGAGCUCAAAGUAUCAACACCAACAAAUUUGACUUCCAAAAUCAACCGCAGUGAGUGUGGAAAAACCAAACUUUGUUUGGACAACCCUAAAGGAUGCGAUCCUUCGGGUAGCUCUCAGUGUUUCUUCAACUCUGUUGCCUUCACUAACAUGAGCCUCACUGUUGAGCUCAGUGGCAACUCUACCGGUUACAUUGCUUUAGCAGCUGGAGAGACAUCUAAUCUGCCUCAGAACCGUAAUAUCAUCUUUGUCUGUGGCAACAAUAAUGGCAGUUUUUUCUUCAGAACAACAACACUCUACAAUACUACACUGGGGAUCGCAAAUUUACUUAAUGUGAACAAUGUCGAGGGUUCGAUACAGCCAAGCUUGAUUCAGUGUGUUUUCAGCAUUCCCAUUGAUGAAAACGCCAUUUACAUACUAAGCACUAUCAACGGCACAUAUAUCAACUUAACCGACAUUGCUAAUUCCAAAAUUCCCGUAUUCCUUGACAUCUUGAAGGGUUCAACCAAUGGAACUGCGCUGGGAACACCAACAAGUGUACUUGAGUCCCCGGUUCUGGUUAAUCUAGCUAAUCUAGCUAAUCUAACUAAUUCUACAAAUGUUGUAAGCACCCCAGCUAGCACCCCAGCUAAUUCAAAUGCCAGCAUCUCACUCACCAGCCUCUUGAGUCAUGCAGCAAUUUGCCUUCUCAGUAUCUUCUUGCAUCUGAUCUGAUGAGACCCAAGAGACCUGAGGACUAAUCAUGAUUUAGAGUAGUAUGUGGAUAUGUAGUAACGUUGGCAUGUUUUCCAAAAAAUAUUCUUAUUUCCAUUGGCUUCUUUUUUUUUUCCAUCUGAUUCUUUCUAUAAGAUUAUUCACAAACAUAUAAGUUGUGCUUUACAUAUACUGGGUGUUAGGAAACAUAAAAAGCGGUGUGGUGUUUUAAUGAUCUUCUAACAUUAUUUACUGAUAGUGGAAAUGACCAUGAAAAGAUACACUUGUAUUUUGAAAGAGAUUUGAAGUUACAUUAAAAAUAAUUUGUUAAAAUAAUACAUAAAUAAAAAUUAUAAAUCCAAUUACAAUACAAUGUUAUUAAACAAAUCAUUUUGUUGGCAAAUUUUUACUUACUAUACUUACUAUAAAUAAAAAUGUAUAUUGUGAUU